rnacentral:lncRNA from 1 species
CGCGAAGACACACGGAAAGCCCCGGGCAAGUCAGAACAACCCCAGAUGGGCGGGGAUCCCAGAUGGACAAACACGGGGAACGCGCUGAGAGCCGUGGGUCCAGCUGGGUCAGAAGUUCUGUGUCCCCUGCCGUGGGCCGUGUUCCACCUCAGCUCAGCUCUUGGGGACUUUGCGGGGCUGCCACUGGUCGUCUUCUCCAGCUCUUCUCUGUCCCGGAUUUCUCCCAACAGGACCCUUUCCUGCUUCCUCUGUCCAGAGAGAGGGAGGCCCCAUCGGAGUCGUGGCUGUUUGUACCCACACUGCCGUGAGGCCCGGAUGUGCAGUGGGCUUCCUCCUACUUCUCCGGGACCAUAAGUCCACACCUCAGUGUACAAAGUCAUUGUCAUGGUGUGUCUGGUACGAGAUUUUCGGGCUGAUGUUCCUCUAUUCCUUCUGAUAGCAGGAAACGUAAUCUUAAUUAAACCUGGGGAAACUAUGUCAUU